AGAGUUUGAUUCUGGCUCAGGAUGAACGCUGGCGGCGUGCUUAACACAUGCAAGUCGAACGAGGCUAUGCAGCGGAAGUUUCGGAUGGAAGCAGCAUAGACCGAGUGGCGGACGGGUGAGUAACGCGUGGGGAACCUGCCCCAUUCCGGGGGAUACCAGUUGGAAACGACUGUUAAUACCGCAUAAGCGCACGGAAGGACAUCCUUCAGUGUGAAAAACUGAGGUGGAAUGGGAUGGCCCCGCGUCUGAUUAGCCAGUUGGCAGGGUAACGGCCUACCAAAGCGACGAUCAGUAGCCGGCCUGAGAGGGCGACCGGCCACAUUGGGACUGAGACACGGCCCAAACUCCUACGGGAGGCAGCAGUGGGAAUAUUGCACAAUGGGGGAAACCCUGAUGCAAGCGACGCCGCGUGAGUGAAGAAGUAUUUCGGUAUGUAAAGCUCUAUCAGCAGGGAAGAAGAUGACGGUACCUGCACAAGAAGCCCCGGCUAACUACGUGCCAGCCGCGGC
rnacentral:rRNA from 1 species